GUUUGUUCCAAUAGGAUGCAGUGUGAACUAGGUUUGUGUUUGUUCCAAUAGGAUGGAGUGUGAACUAGGUUUGUGUUUGUUCCAAUAGGAUGCAGUGUGAACUAGGUUUGUGUUUGUUCCAAUAGGAUGCAGUGUGAACUAGGUUUGUGUUUGUUCCAAUAGGAUGCAGUGUGAACUAGGUUUGUGUUUGUUCCAAUAGGAUGCAGUGUGAACUAGGUUUGUGUUUGUUCCAAUAGGAUGCAGUGUGAACUAGGUUUGUGUUUGUUCCAAUAGGAUGCAGUGUGAACUAGGUUUGUGUUUGUUCCAAUAGGAUGCAGUGUGAACUAGGUUUGUGUUUGUUCCAAUAGGAUGCAGUGUGAACUAGGUUUGUGUUUGUUCCAAUAGGAUGCAGUGUGAACUAGGUUUGUGUUUGUUCCAAUAGGAUGCAGUGUGAACUAGGUUUGUGUUUGUUCCAAUAGGAUGCAGUGUGAACUAGGUUUGUGUUUGUUCCAAUAGGAUGCAGUGUGAACUAGGUUUGUGUUUGUUCCAAUAGGAUGCAGUGUGAACUAGGUUUGUGUUUGUUCCAAUAGGAUGCAGUGUGAACUAGGUUUGUGUUUGUUCCAAUAGGAUGCAGUGUGAACUAGGGUUGUGUUUGUUCCAAUAGGAUGCAGUGUGAACUAGGUUUGUGGGGCUGAUUCAAGGACGUGUCUGUGUGAAUGAAGUUUCCCUUUGGGCUGAGAGGCAGGAAGGGUGGAUGGACAGCACCCUUAAUCUCUCAUUAAUUAACCUCAGCUACCAUGAAGUGGAGUGUUGAUAUUAUUUGAUAAACAACAGUGGCACUGCUUAGUGCUCACGCAUUUCCACUGUGGUCCUCAAGUGGUCUUACUGGCAUGGGAACGAGGAGGUGA